rnacentral:rRNA from 1 species
GUGCCAGCCGCCGCGGUAAAACGUAGGAGACGAGCGUUAUCCGGAAUUACUGGGCGUAAAGCGCGAGUAGGCGGUUGAAUAAGUGGUCUGUGAAAGCGUCUGGCUCAACUAGACGAGGCCGGAUCAGACUGUUUGACUAGAGGGUCAGAGAGGCAGGCGGAAUUCCGGGUGUAGUGGUGAAAUGCGUAGAGAUCCGGAGGAACACCAGUGGCGAAGGCGGCCUGCUGGCUGACAACUGACGCUGAGGCGCGAAAGCAUGGGGAGCGAACGGGAUUAGAAACCCCCGUAGUCC